UCCAUAUUAUUUGAAGGUAGACUCUAAUUUGAUUAUUUAGAGCCUAGGCUCUAUACAAACCGUACCUUAUUGGGCCCCUCUAAAUCUAAAAAUAGGGAGGAACCAAGUCGACAACUUUGUUACGCUUAAAAUUAGGGAAGGAAAAUAGCCGGCUUGGGCUGGAGGAGCCUUCGCCCAAGUAAACUUAAAGAAAACCAAAAUAAAAAAGAUAAAAGCAAAAUAGGACCAUGACAGGCCUCUCUUGCCUUGGUCUUGGCCCGAGGUUCGGGCUAUUGUGGCCUAUGCCCUAGUUUUUUAAGGCCAAG
rnacentral:lncRNA from 1 species